UAUCUCUGUAGAGUCUGCAUAUCAAUAAGCGGAGGAAAAGAAACUAACAAGGAUUCCCUUAGUAACGGCGAGUGAAGCGGGAAGAGCUCAAAUUUGAAAUCUUCAAGGUUCUACCUUGACGAAUUGUAGUUUAAAGAAGUGUUUUCUGUUAGAGUGAGUAGCAAAAGUUCCUUGGAAUGGGACAUCAUAGAGGGUGAGAAUCCCGUAUUUGGUAUAUUCAUUCUAGCUUUGUGAUACACUUUCAAAGAGUCGGAUUGUUUGGGAAUGCAGUCCAAAAUGGGUGGUAAAUUUCAUCUAAAGCUAAAUAUUGGCGAGAGACCGAUAGCGAACAAGUACCGUGAGGGAAAGAUGAAAAGAACUUUGAAAAGAGAGUUAAACAGUACGUGAAAGUUGUCAAAAGAGGAAGCGUUUGACACCAGUGUUGUUUUUUCCGAAAAUCAAUUACGAAUGGCUUGAUUCUGUGUUGUAUUGACCUUAUCAGCUUUCUUCACUUUUUUCGAGUCUUUCUUAAUGCACUUUUCGGUUAACAAGUCAACAUCAAUUUCUUUUGUUGUAAAAGAGUAUUCGGAAGGUGGCUUUCUUUUCGGAGAAAGUGUUUAUAGCCCUAUACUUCUACAAUCGGAGAGAUUGAGGUCUGCAGCGUAGAUCCUUCGGGGUUAGAUACACUUGUGCUAAGUUGUAGCUUUUCAUAGACAACUUGUUGACUAUGUUUAGUCAUGCGGCUUACAUCGCUUGUGCUAUUUUACCUACGCUUAGGAUGUUGACGAGACUGUCGAUCU
rnacentral:rRNA from 1 species